CAGCAAGGGAGGAUCUGAAAGGUUGGGUACUGGGCAUCUGCCCUGCGCCUCUGCCUCCAGACCUCGGGCUAUGAGAUGGUGAAGGGUGAGAGACAGCUGACGCCACUGGGUCCCUUUCCCACAGCCCCUUAACCCUCCCCUACCCACAAUCGGAGACACCCAUUUCCCCCGGGCCUGGGUGGCUUCACACCUGCCGACACCCGGGCCGGGGCCGUCGGAGCCAGAAGAGAGAACGCUGCCGGGGAUAGAGUCCUUGAAGGCUGCAAACCUAGACUGAGCUCCUGGAAAUUACAAGGAGAGAGAAGAAGUGGGAAAUCUGCUCAGGGAGAUAAGUCCAGGAAAUGGAGGCAGUGAGUAGAGCAGCGUCCAUGAGAAGAGCUGUUGGACUGCGGCACUUUGGAUUCUGACGUGUGUUAUUGGGAGACAUUGUUCAUCCUUGCUCCUGUCUAGAAGGGAAAAGAAAAAAACCAAGACAAGAAUUAGCUGGGCCAAUGCCAAUCCUUCAUAACA